rnacentral:rRNA from 1 species
ACGGGUGCGUAACGCGUAUGGAACUUACCCAUUACUAGGGGAUAGCCCGGAGAAAUUCGGAUUAAUACCUUAUAGUAUGGCGGACUGGCAUCAGUUUGCUAUUAAAGAUUUAUCGGUAAUGGAUAGCCAUGCGUAUGAUUAGCUAGUUGGCGGGGUAAUGGCCCACCAAGGCGAUGAUCAUUAGGGGGUCUGAGAGGAUGAUCCCCCACACUGGUACUGAGAUACGGACCAGACUCCUACGGGAGGCAGCAGUAGGGAAUAUUGGUCAAUGGGCGAGAGCCUGAACCAGCCAUGCCGCGUGCAGGAAGAAGGCCCUCUGGGUUGUAAACUGCUUUUGACAGGGGCCAAAAUAUCCAUGCGUGGAGAAUUGAGAGUACCUGUAGAAUAAGCACCGGCUAACUCCGUGCCAGCAGCCGCGGUAAUACGGAGGGUGCAAGCGUUGUCCGGAUUUAUUGGGUUUAAAGGGUGCGUGGGUGGCCUUAUAAGUCAGUGGUGAAAGCCUGCAGCUUAACUGUAGGACUGCCAUUGAUACUGUAGGGCUUGAGUACUGAUGAGGUAGGCGGAAUUGAUAGUGUAGCGGUGAAAUG